UGGGGAAUAUUGCACAAUGGGCGAAAGCCUGAUGCAGCAACGCCGCGUGAGGGACGACGGCCUUCGGGUUGUAAACCUCUUUUAGCAAGGAAGAAGCGAAAGUGACGGUACUUGCAGAAAAAGCGCCGGCUAACUACGUGCCAGCAGCCGCGGUAAUACGUAGGGCGCAAGCGUUAUCCGGAAUUAUUGGGCGUAAAGAGCUCGUAGGCGGUUUGUCGCGUCUGCUGUGAAAACCCGAGGCUCAACCUCGGGCCUGCAGUGGGUACGGGCAGACUAGAGUGCGGUAGGGGAGAUUGGAACUCCUGGUGUAGCGGUGGAAUGCGCAGAUAUCAGGAAGAACACCGAUGGCGAAGGCAGAUCUCUGGGCCGUAACUGACGCUGAGGAGCGAAAGGGUGGGGAGCAAACAGGCUUAGAUACCCUGGUAGUCCACCCGUAAACGUUGGGAACUAGUUGUGGGGUCCAUUCCACGGAUUCCGUGACGCAGCUAACGCAUUAAGUUCCCCGCCUGGGGAGUACGGCCGCAAGGCUAAACUCAAAUGAAUUGACGGGGUCAUAGCUGUUUCCU
rnacentral:rRNA from 1 species